CAGCCCUAAACCGAUGCGCGUUAGGUGUAUCGGUGACCACGAGUCACCGAGGUGCCGAAGGGAAACCGUGAAACGUGCCGCCUGGGAAGUACGGUCGCAAGGCUGAAACUUAAAGGAAUUGGCGGGGGGAGCACCACAACGGGUGGAGCCUGCGGUUUAAUUGGACUCAACGCCGGGAAGCUCACCGGAUAAGACAGCGGAAUGAUUGCCGGGCUGAAGACCCUGCAUGACCAGCUGAGAGGAGGUGCAUGGCGUAGACGUCU
rnacentral:rRNA from 1 species